rnacentral:sRNA from 1 species
AAUGCACCAGGGUGACAACGCUAACUGGAAAGAAAAUUAUAGAAACGUGGAAAGAUGCCAGAAUUCAUGUUGUGGAAGAAGUAGAGCCGAGCAGUGGGGGUGGUUGUGGUUAUGUGCAGGACCUUAGCUCGGACCUGCAAGUUGGCGUUAUUAAGCCAUGGUUGCUCCUAGGGUCACAAGAUGCUGCUCAUGAUUUGGAUACACUGAAAAAGAAUAAGAAUGUUUUGAAUUUAUUGAAGAAGCAAAAAGAAAAGAUGGAGUGGUUCUUGUUCAUUGUAAUGCAGGCGUUUCCAGGGCUGCUGCAAUUGUAAUAGGUUUCCUGAUGAAUUCUGAACAAACCUCAUUUACCAGUGCUUUUUCGUUGGUGAAAAAUGCAAGACCUUCCAUAUGUCCAAAUUCUGGCUUCAUGGAGCAGCUUCGUACAUAUCAAGAGGGCAAAGAAAGCAAUAAGUGUGACAGAAUACAGGAGAACAGUUCAUGAGUUGCAUUGUAGCGGACAAUGGACAACUGUAGUUUCUGAAUUGACUUCUAUAGCCAUCUUUUCCCUUUUUUGGAGAGUAGACUAGCAAAACUCCCUUUUUUCUCUUGCCUUUUUUAUGCAUAAAUGGAGGUCAAUUUGAUUGUCCUGACCUACUGUAUAAGUAAAUUUCAAAUGUCAUUACUUUCUCUUUGUUAUUAUAAUGUGUGAUUAAAUGCUUUUUUAAAUUGCUAAGGGAAAAUAACAAA